rnacentral:rRNA from 1 species
CAGCCGCCGCGGGAAUACGUAGGGUCCGAGCGUUGUCCGGAAUUACUGGGCGUAAAGAGCUCGUAGGUGGUUUGUCGCGUUGUUCGUGAAAACUCACAACUCAAUUGUGGGCGUGCGGGCGAUACGGGCAGACUGGAGUACUGCAGGGGAGACUGGAAUUCCUGGUGUAGCGGUGGAAUGCGCAGAUAUCAGGAGGAACACCGGUGGCGAAGGCGGGUCUCUGGGCAGUAACUGACGCUGAGGAGCGAAAGCGUGGGGAGCGAACAGGAUUAGAUACCCCCGUAGUCCCUGUCUCUUAUAC